rnacentral:rRNA from 1 species
GAUGAACGCUGGCGGCGUGCCUAAUACAUGCAAGUCGAGCGAACGGACGAGAAGCUUGCUUCUCUGAUGUUAGCGGCGGACGGGUGAGUAACACGUGGAUAACCUACCUAUAAGACUGGGAUAACUUCGGGAAACCGGAGCUAAUACCGGAUGAUAUUUUGAACCGCAUGGUUCAAAAGUGAAAGACGGUCUUGCUGUCACUUAUAGAUGGAUCCGCGCUGCAUUAGCUAGUUGGUAAGGUAACGGCUUACCAAGGCAACGAUGCAUAGCCGACCUGAGAGGGUGAUCGGCCACACUGGAACUGAGUCACGGUCCAGACUCCUACGGGAGGCAGCAGUAGGGAAUCUUCCGCAAUGGGCGAAAGCCUGACGGAGCAACGCCGCGUGAGUGAUGAAGGUCUUCGGAUCGUAAAACUCUGUUAUUAGGGAAGAACAUAUGUGUAAGUAACUGUGCACAUCUUGACGGUACCUAAUCAGAAAGCCACGGCUAACUACGUG